rnacentral:misc_RNA from 1 species
UCCGGCUUAUCACCGGCAGUUUCUCUAGAGUGCCCAACUAAAUGGUAGCAACUAAAGGCGAGGGUUGCGCUCGUUGCGGGACUUAACCCAACAUCUCACGACACGAGCUGACGACAGCCAUGCAGCACCGGUGCAGCACCCUCGAAGACAACGCGCUUUCGCGCGUUUGCAGCUGCAUGUCAAGCCUGGGUAAGGUUCUGCGUGUUGCGUCGAAUUAAACCACACGCUCCGCUGCUUGUGCGGGUCCCCGUCAAUUCCUUUGAGUUUUAGCCUUGCGGCCGUACUCCCCAGGCGGGGCGCUUAAUGCGUUAGCUUCGGCACGGAGGGAGUCGACACCCCCCACACCUAGCGCCCAUCGUUUACGGCGUGGACUAC